rnacentral:lncRNA from 1 species
CGGGGUUUUUGAAGCCCGAAGCAUUGGUAAGGUACUUGGGUGUAAUGGACUCUAUCACCCAAGUACAGAUGAAGGCCUAUUGGGAAGGCAAAGAUGAGGUAGAGGUGUACCCUCUGACCAAGACCCUCACUCUAGGCCUUGCCUGCAAAUUCUUCUUGGGCAUAGAUGAGCCAGACAGAAUUGCAAGGUUUGUGAGCAAUUUCGAUGAUGUGACUGUUGGGAUGCAUUCACUUAUUCUGAAUUUCCCAGGAACAACAUUCUACAAAGCAACCAAAGCAGCCGAUGAACUUCGAAGGGAGUUGAAGAUUGUGAUUCAGGAGAAGAAGGCUGCAAUGGCAUCAGGAGCUCCCAUGCAUGACAUAUUGUCACAUAUGAUUGUGGCAAGUGAUCCAACUGGCAAACACAUGCCUGAGGCUGAGGUUGCUGAUAAGAUCAUGGGUUUGCUGACAGCAGGAUACAGCACUGUGGCUACUGCCAUGACUUUCUUCAUGAAAUAUGUUGGAGAGAGGCCAGACAUUUAUGCCAAAGUCCUAGCAGGUAAUUAAUCUCCUCAACUUCACCUUACUAACUGUUUUUCAAUUGUUCAUUGAUUUGGUUAUUUGUUAUUUGUGCUAAAACUUUGAUUUGUCUUGUAAAAACCAGAACACAAGGAGAUAGCAGACUCAAAGAAGCCUGGACAAUUUUUGGAGUGGGAAGACAUCAACAAAAUGAAAUACUCAUGGAAUGUAUUGUAUGAGGUGAUGAGAUUCACACCACCACUUCAGGGGACAUUCAGAGAGGCUUUGACUGAUUUCACCUACGCUGGUUACACCAUCCCAAAGGGCUGGAAGGUAUAUCUGUCACACUCAUAUCACACUUUUUAACUGCUGUGAAAAGUGAAAUUUAUUUUUCACCUCUGUCAAAUAGUAAUUUCUUUGCUUAGAACUAAAGUUUUUACUUUGAUUUGUUUGCAGGUAUAUUGGACUGUUAGUACAACAAACAUGAACCCAGAGUACUUUCCCAACCCAGAAAAGUUUGACCCCUCAAGAUAUGAUGACUUGAAUGCAUUCCCAGCUUUCACAUUUGUUCCAUUUGGAGGAGGACCAAGGAUGUGCCCUGGCAAAGAGUAUGCAAGGCUAGCCAUACUCACUUUUGUUCACAAUGUGG